UCCGGUCGGUCCUGCCGGAGCGCGACGCUCUCCCCAAGGACGAAGCCAUGCAUGCCCGCUCACCCGGGACGCGGCGGACGGCUCAGGACAACGGUUGCACCCCCCGCGGCGGUCCCUGCUAGCCGGACACCGCUGGCAACCCGGCGCCAAGACGUGCGCGCAAGGGCGGGCGCCCGCGGGCGAGCAGCGUGACGCAGCGACGGCCCGCCCGGGCUUCCGGGGCAUCACCCGGUCGGCGCGGUCGCGGCGCGCCGAGGGCCCGACGCCUGGCGGA
rnacentral:rRNA from 1 species